rnacentral:rRNA from 1 species
UACGGGGGGAGCAAGCGUUGUUCGGAUUUACUGGGCGUAAAGGGCGCGUAGGCGGCCAGCGCAAGUCAGUUGUGAAAUCUCCGAGCUUAACUCGGAAAGGUCAACUGAUACUGCGCGGCUAGAGUGCAGAAGGGGCAACUGGAAUUCUCGGUGUAGCGGUGAAAUGCGUAGAUAUCUGCAGGAACACCCGUGGCGAAAGCGGCGCGCUGGACCACUACUGACGCUGAGGAACGAAAGCUAGGGGAGCAAACAGG